GUCGGGCAUGGUGGCGUGAGCCUGUAAUCCCACCUACUUGGGAGGCUGAGGCAGGAGAAUUGCUUGAGCCUGGGAGGUGGAGUUGCAGUGAGCCGAGAUCGCGCUACUGCACUCCAGCCUGGGCAACAGAGUGAGACUCUGCCUCAA
rnacentral:SRP_RNA from 2 species